CCACAUGUGAGAAGAAAGCCUUGUUAGGUUGUAAAUCACUUUGUAAAAUACAUUAAAAUUUUUAGAAAAAAUUUUACAAUCAAAGCUCCGGCUAAUUUCGUGCCAGCAGCCGCGGUAAAACGGGAGGAGCAAGUAUUAUUCUAAUUGACUGGGCGUAAAGGGUGCGUAGGUGGUGUAUCAAGUAGCAAAAAAAUUUUAAAUUUUAUGUUUAUAACAAAUUACUAAACUAAUUCACUAGAGCAUAGGAAAAGAUUUUGGAACUUCGAAAGUAGUAAUAAAAUACGAUGAUAUUCAAAAGAACAUCAAAAGUGAAAACAAUAAUCUGGACUAUAGCUGACACUAAGGCACGAAAGCGUAGGUAUCAAAAGGGAUUAGAUACCCCUGUAGUCUACGCCCUCAACGAUGAGUGUUUGUUUUUGAAUAAGUUUUCAGAGGCGAAGCUAAGGCAUUAAACACUUCGCCUGGGGACUACGGUCGCAAGAUUAAAACUCAAAGGAAUUGACGGGAACCCGCACAAGCGGUGGAGCAUGUGGUUUAAAUCGAAAAAACGCGCAAAACCUUACCAAUUUUUGUAUAGCAUUUUUGUUACAGGUGUUGCAUGGCUGUCGUCAGUCCGUGCCGUGAGGCGUUUGGUUAAUUCCAGCAAACGGACGAAACUUUUAUAUAAUAUAUUCAUAUAUUAUAAACUGCUCGGAAUAUCCUUGAGGAAGGAAAAAAUGACGUCAAGUCCGCAUGACCCUUAUGAAUUGGGCUACUUUCAUGUGCUACAAAGUAAUAUUUACAAUAAGAAGCAAAAGCGUGAGCUGGAGCAAAAUCUUUAAAAAAUAUUUAAUUCGGAUUAUUCUCUGCAACUCGAGAAUAUGAAGUCGUAAUCGCUAGUAAUCGUGAAUCAGAAUUGUCGCGGUGAAUAAGUUCUCGGGUUUUGUACACACCGCCCGUCACACUAUGGGAAUUUACUCUACUUGAAGAUAAAAAUGUUUAAUUUUUUUCCAUGGUAGAGGAAGGACUAGAGUGAAGUCGUAACAAGGUAACCGUAGGGGAACCUGCGGUUG
rnacentral:rRNA from 1 species